rnacentral:rRNA from 1 species
GAUUAACGCUGGCGGCGUGCCUAACACAUGCAAGUCGAGCGGCAGCGAGUUUUACACUGAAUUCUGGAAGCUUCUAGUUGAAAGAGAAGAUUUAUUCAAGAAUUUUGUGUAAAAUGUCGGCGAGCGGCGGACGGCUGAGUAACGCGUGGGAACGUACCCCAAAGUGAGGGAUAACGCAUCGAAAGGUGUGCUAAUACCGCAUAUGGUCUUCGGAUUAAAGCCUUCGGGCGCUUUGGGAACGGCCUGCGUAAGAUUAGAUAGUUGGUGGGGUAAUGGCCUACCAAGUCGACGAUCUGUAACUGGUUUGAGAGGAUGAUCAGUCAGACUGGAACUGAGACACGGUCCAGACUCCUACGGGAGGCAGCAGUGAGGAAUCUUCCACAAUGGGCGAAAGCCUGAUGGAGCAACGCCGCGUGCAGGAUGAAGGCCUUCGGGUUGUAAACUGCUUUUAUAAGUGAGGAUUGUGACAGUAACUUAUGAAUAAGGAUCGGCUAACUACGUG